rnacentral:lncRNA from 1 species
AAGAGUCUGCCUAAGGGGUGGGGACAGCGAGGCCUGUGAUUGUAGUUGGCAAAGGUAAGUGAUGUCAGACAGCAGACGUUUCUCCAGCCCUGCAGCAGUUUCCAGGCGUGGAGGGAGGCCUGGCGCCAACUUCUCAAGUCACGUUCUUCAAUGAACAGUUGUGGUUUGAACUGUGGAGAGUGGGGCCUGCAGGGGAGAGAGAAAUGCACCAGCCAAAGGCUGCAGCCCGACCCUCCUGAUCUCAUCGCUCAGCCCUGCUGGGGAGGAGUCUGGGGCUGCAGCUCUGGGCGACUUCAGAGUGGACUGAGAGAGGAGAGGGCUGUGUUUCUGACUGCAGCAGGCGGCCUGCUUCCUCUCUGCCAUGAGGCCGGGAAGAGGAGAUACAAAGACAAGGGGAAUCUGUCCCCAGGUUCCCUGGAGUCCUGUCAGGACAGACAAGAGGAUCUCAACUUGGCAUCCACAGGGUGGUCUGGGGAAUAUCCCUGAAGUUCCAAAGUCAUGUGGAUGUGGAUGUACAUACAUUUUCCUGGGGAGAGGGUCCUGGCUGUCAUUAGAACCUCAAAUAUGCAUGCUGUAAGCGUAAGUACCACUGGACUCGAAUAACCGUCCCUCCGGGAGAAGUCUUUGGUCUUGCAGUUGGUCCUGGGGAUUGCUGAGUGCAGACAAAAUGAAAACUUCUCUGGGUCUAGGGAGAUUUAUUCUUGAGGACAUUCCUCGCACCGGAGUUAGAUUCCGUGGACAAAGGGGUAUUACUCUUUCAUCAGUGUUCUCUCAUGCCAAUUUUAGAAAGCCCAUUUGGGCUGGGCACAAUGGCUCAUGCCUGUAAUCUCAGCACUUUGGGAGGCAGAGGUGGGCUUAUCACCUAAGGUCAGGAGUUCAAGACCAGCCUGGCCAACAUGGUGAAACCCUGUCUCUACUGAAAAUACAAAAUUACCCAGGCGUGGUGGCACGUGUCUGUAAUUUCAGCUACUUGGGAGGCUGAGGCAGGAGCAUCAGUUGAACCCAGGAGGCAGAGGUUGCAGUGAGCUGAGUUUGCGCCAUUGCACUGCAGCCUGGUAAACAAAAGCAAAACUCCAUCUCAAAAAAAAAAAAAAAAGAAGAAAAAAGCCCAUUUGAAGGCUGAGAUAUCAUCUACUUUGAACCCCUAGGACUCCUAAGUGUAUACUUCUUAGCCAGUUUCAGCUCUAGCGACAGGCAGGAAUUUCAAGUGAGGAAUAUGAUGAAGGCAAACUGUAACAUUGCCACUUUAGGUCUUUCUGCCUCUGUCAUCAACAUUUACAGAUGGGGGCCUUAACUAGGCAUUUUCUGAUGCUUGUAAAAUUAAUUACUAGCAUUAUAGCCAUAUAUAUUUGAAACAAAUAUCAUGCUGUCUGCAUACUGAGAAAAGCAUUAAAUACAAAGUAGACCCAGCUACCACAAAAGUCGCUGAACACAUCUGAUGGGUCAGUUGUGUCCUGAUAGAUCCCAGGGUGAUUUACCUGUGAUCCACGGAUGGCUAAUAAGAUGACCUGGUUUCCCUUACCACUGUGCAUACACACAUCCUGAGACGGACCAUGAAGUUUAAGAAGAUUUUCAGGGCAGAGACUAUUCUUUGCUGAAAAUAUGUAAGCACACCCACUGGAGAAAGGUAAAAAGGCAGGGAAAUUAGACUCUCUUCAGCUCUGACUCGGAACAGGUUAAGGCAAAAACUAGGAAUAUGGUGGAUACAUGUUGACUUAUUAUAUAGCAGUUACCCAAAGGGGGCUGAUAUAUAAUAGAUGAGUGAAUACUCAAUGCUGAUCCAAGGAAUUCACAGCACUGGAAUUGCUAGGAGGGAUGCUUGCGAACAGAAACAAUCAGCCCUCUACCCUGACGCCCCACAAUCUGGAUUCAGUAACAUGGUGUAUAUGGGGUUGCAGCGGGUAUGUUAGGGGGUGAGGCCCAGUUACUUUUUUUUUUUUAAAGCACCUCUAGUGAUUGUGAUACCCAAAGAAGUUUGAGAACUAAUGUGCUAAAUCACUGAAUGCUCUCAAACACAGGUGCUAUUUCUGAAGAACAUUCAUUUAAUAGAUUUACUCAGAUUCUGGGUCUUAUUUUUACCUUUGAGGGAACCAAAAGAAGAUACGGUUUUAAAUAAAACAUAAUUCCAUUAACAACACUUGAACUAUUACUUGCUUCUUAAACUUCAGAAGCUGAUCAAGGUAACUCUGGAAUAACUAUUCUAUACAACACCUCUGGAAAUGAUUAGAAAUCUUGCUUUCUGGUGUUGCAGAUCACAAUCAUUGGUGUAAUAUACACUUAUGAAUGUGAAUUUCCAAAGACAAGAACCUGAGGUACUUACAUUAAAAUCUGAAAUUAAUCAGGAUCCUUUGCCACUACUACCCUUACUAUCCUAUCCAGAAAGUAACAGGUGUUCAGUUAUUUUCAAUACAAUUGCUGUGUCUGAUUACACCAUGUUCUUAAAAGAUUUCCUAACACAAGACUUACCUACCUUUCGCUGAUUCAUCAAUGAUUUCAAAGGUUGAACUACAAUUUUUACUAACUUUUAUGAGGCUUACCACUACCUCCUUUGCCACACCAGCAUAUUUUGCCAAAUGCCCCCAACAUAGCCACCAGGCAAGAAACCUUCAGGGUGAUUAUGUGUGUGCUUUUUUUUUUUUUAAUAGUAUCAUUCAUUUGUACAGAGAAAUCAUUUGGAUGGAUCUAUU